UAAAACGAAGAAUUUUUUAGGAGCCUGUUGUGCGAAUUAGUGAGUUUAGAGACCACUGAUAGCAAGCUAAGCUACAAGCGAAAUUAAAAUACCUGUGAAGCAAUAAAAACACACAUUGGCAGGUGUACGAGUUGAUAACUAUACAUUGCGAUAAAUAAAAAGAAAAUGUGAAGAUUUUCAAAUAGUUUCGUAGAUAAAAUAGGAAAUUAAAAGUUUGUAAAAACUACCUAAGCUAAGAGAACGGCUAGGACAAGAGUCGGAGAAAAAACUACGAAUAUUUCAUCGAGAGUUGAUCGCGCGCUCUCGUGCCGCGCGUUCAUGGAAACUAGACACCGUGACCGUGUGCACACAAACUUGGCAUGACAUCAAAAUGGGAAUAAAUGUGGACGGCUGGGGAAUAUUUCGUCAAUAUUAGAGCCAAAAGCAAAGGAAUUCUUCGUAUAUUGGUGAAUUAAAGCAAUGAGUGGCUACCCGAAGGUCGCUUCUACAGCCUGACAUGGAUCUAAAGUGGGUGAUAUCUGAGGAGGAAAGAACUCGCCACGAUGCAUUGUUUUACAGCCAAAGACCUCAAGACAGAUAUCUAUCUGGAGAGCAAGCUCGUUCUUUAUUUAUACGAUCGAAAUUGCCUCUACCGGAGCUGAGCAAAAUAUGGUUUGUAUAAAUUUAUUUUGGUUAUUUUACUCUUGUACUAUCAAGAAAUUAAAUCGAUUUUUGGUUGCGCGUUCGUGAGGUGUUUUUCAAUGCAAGGCAAGGCCAUGCCAUUGAGCCUGCAAAUUUGUGGUCGUAAUUUUCUAUUUAGUGAUUUUGCUAACGACCCUUUUAAUCUAAUACGACCUUAAACAGUUUCCAUUAGAGUUAAAACCGUUUCCCAGUAACAGACAUUUAUUUAUAAAUCCGGCGCGACAGAUGCCGAGAAUUAGUUCUGUUUUUCUAGAAUGAACGGGAUGACGGUUUGUUUUGAAUACAAAUAUGUAUUGUGUUUUUGUUUUGUACAACGGCUUAGAUAUUAUCUGGCAAACACAAUAAAACUUGUAUUGUAUAGGACAUUGUAGAAGCCCAUUUGACGUCUUGAAUCUGCUAUGUUGUUAUAGAAUGCUGUGGAUAACGUUUCUAGGUUCUCUUUGCAUGGAAGUUGGGAUGACCCUUCUCACUACGAAGGUUAACCCCCCUUUUUAGCAUGCAUGAUUUCACAUUAAAACAAUGAAGCCUGCUAAAGCGUGGGGAAAUAAUAAACUUUGUUAGUUUCUUUAAUGGGGUUUACUUCCUUACAGGAGCAAUACAAUUUUAUGAAAAAUUGUAAGCCUGUAGUGGUUGUAUUAAAAAUGUUGUUUUUAGGAAGUGACCUAACUCACACUCAUAACCUCAUGACUGAAUUCUCAUCUCAUUAACACAUACCAUCAGUUUUAAUCCUCUCAAUUAUUAACAAUAGGGACUCACAGACAAUCAGAGUGUGAUUUUGUGUUAUAUGUUAUAUUUAAGUCUUGGGGUCCAUGGCUAGUGGCUUUCUUUCAAGAGUGAAGGAAU